GCAGGAAGGCCGGGCUGGGCUCGGGGCUCUCGCUGCAGCCCCUGGUGCACCCUGAGCUCCAGGACGGCGCCCAGCAGACCCAGCAGUGCCUGGAGCUCUUCGCCGCCACGGCCGAGGUGCUGCUGCUCAAGCACGGCAAGAGGAUCGUGGAGGAGCAGUUCUCCCUGAAGCGCGUGGCCGACGCCGCCAUCGACGUCUACGCCAUGGCCGUGGUGCUGUCGCGGUAACGCC